rnacentral:lncRNA from 1 species
AAUUUUCUGACGUAAGAAGAGCUAAAAAAAUAUGCUAAAAUUCGAAAUUUUCCUCAAAGAUUGCGUCGCAAUAGUUAUGCACGCAGCGAAGCGCAAAUUUGUGCCCGUCGAAAUUCCAAACUUACCAAUCCCAACAAUUUUACAGUUGGGUAAAAUCGUUUUUUUCCUUUCUCAGGAUUACUUUUCUAGCUAUGAUGAAUCUGAUCAUAUCUUUAUUGGCUUUGACGGCGGUGGUAUGGGUUAUAAUACCGGGUGGAGCGGGAAUGCAAGCGAGUGACUCGGAAAUCCAGCCCGUCCCUCCAAGUCCCAAAGCAACCUCUUCUCGGAGUUCAGUGACGGCGUCAAGUCCUCCCUCAUCUGUUUCGCCUGAGAAGAAACUAAGCUGGUGGGCACAACAUAAACAGAAUAAGAAACAAAAGGAAGAAGAAAAGGAAAAGGCUGCUGCGGCAAAGAGGAAACCUGCAUCUGGGCCACCGGUACCCUAUUACAAGGACGUGACCAAUAUAGACGCAUCCACCUGGAGCCAAAUGAUCAAGUCCAUACAGACGAACGACUGCUGUACAAGGGGUAUGCAAGACGCAAACGGGUACUGCAAGAGGGUAACUGGAUACUUGGACAAACUCAAACCCGAAAAUAGGAGUGACGCCUGCCCUCGCGUAACGAACGGAAGAUGUGCCGAAAUUGGUGGCCAGAAAGUGUGCGCAGUCGACGUGUACAAGAAAACCAAGAGCGAGAAACCAUUUUGCGGCACAGGGGCACCAUUUUGCGGUUGCUCUAACAUAAAAAUAGAAAGAACACUCGUACCGUUUAGGGAGUGUGUCGGCAAGCUCGAAUUCUGA